CCUACGGGGGGCAGCAGUGGGGAAUAUUGGACAAUGGGCGAAAGCCUGAUCCAGCCAUGCCGCGUGUGUGAAGAAGGCCUUCGGGUUGUAAAGCACUUUCAGUGGGGAAGAAAGCCUUGGGGCUAAUACCCUCGAGGAAGGACAUCACCCACAGAAGAAGCACCGACUAACUCCGUGCCAGCAGCCGCGGUAAUACGGAGGGUGCGAGCGUUAAUCGGAAUUACUGGGCGUAAAGCGCGCGUAGGCGGUCUGAUAAGCCGGUUGUGAAAGCCCCGGGCUCAACCUGGGAACGGCAUCCGGAACUGUCAGGCUAGAGUGCAGGAGAGGAAGGUAGAAUUCCCGGUGUAGCGGUGAAAUGCGUAGAGAUCGGGAGGAAUACCAGUGGCGAAGGCGGCCUUCUGGACUGACACUGACGCUGAGGUGCGAAAGCGUGGGUAGCAAACAGGAUUAGAUACCCCUGUAGUC
rnacentral:rRNA from 1 species